CUACAGAGGCGCAGUGUUCAUGAGUACAUAUCAGCAAGGCAGGCAGCCGCCGGUAUGGAAAGGGGAUACUGCCGAAGUGCCGUUUUGUUGCCUGCAAAACGAUGCUGGGGUCACGGAGAAUAUCCGUGGCACUGUCACAUGAAUUUGUGGAGCGCUGUCGA
rnacentral:ncRNA from 1 species